rnacentral:lncRNA from 1 species
UCCUGCUGAUAUUAUGGAAUAUAAAAACACACAAAAUGUCUAUACAGUCAAGAUAACCUGUGGAAAAAUAAUGAAGACAGUGGAGGAAAAGGCAAAAUGGCAAAGAAGAGAAGAGAGAGAAACAAAAUAAUCAUUUUCCAGCCUACCUAAAAUAAUAACCUGGACUUUCAUAAAACUGGAAUAUCUUCUGCUUUACAUGGAAAAUUAUUUUAUCUUAAGUUUCCAUUUAGUUGAUU